GGAUUGGCUCUGAGGGUUGGGUAUAGGGGUCCUUGAUUGAUGUUCGAGCUGAGCAGAAGCUACUUGACGCCUCUGGUGGAUAGUGGAUUCGCGCAUGGCAGAAUUGCCGUUCAAGGAACGCCUUUCGGGGCUUUUCCUGUGCAGUGAACAACCAACUCAGAACU
rnacentral:rRNA from 1 species